GUAGCCUAUAUUGUAAAUAUUUAUCUUUUUUAUUUCUUUACUUUUUUACAAGAAAAUAGAUGACUCGAGUGUUACAAACAAUAGUUUUCAAGGAAUAAUGUGAAAUAAGUUAAUUUUUAUAGGAUAAAAAACGUAAUCAACAUGAUAACUUCAUAACAUUAGUCCUACCAGACACUAACUUAGGAAACAUGCAGUAAUUGCCAGACAGGCAUUGCACACUGCAACAGAUAUGUGUACAAGAAUUCAAAUGGCCAGUGGUGUUAUGAAUAUAAUGGAGGGUCAAAAUUUCCGGUUUGCAGCAGAUGCAACCUCAAUAUCCGAAGAAAAGCCUGAUGACAGGGUAGAAGGCGAUGGAGGCAUGGUGGUUGGGGGAGAGGAGGCUGAAGAAGUGGAGACAAAUCAGUUUAGAUUCAUUAUGUUGAUUAGUUUAAUAUUUAUUUGGAAUAUCAGUAUACUUUUAUUUAAUUCUUUUUCUCAUUUAGAUUAUUAAACUAAGAUCAUUUUAUUGUUUUUAUGAAAAUGUUUUCUUAAAUUUUUAAUAUUUGUUUGUACUUCUGCCUGGUAAAAAAAUACUGUUUUUUUAGUAUGUUUGUUAAAAUGAUUACUUUCACUAACUGACCUUGUCUUGGGUGAAAAGAGAUAUCUUGAUAUUUAACUAGCAGGGUGCCUGUUCUAUAGGCGGGGAUCGUAUAAGUCAGUUGAAACCUUCUUAUAUUUUGAUAAGUUGUAAAUUAAUCAUUUUCAACUUUAUAUAGUGUAGAUCGCUUCUCCUGUAUUGAUGUACU